rnacentral:tRNA from 1 species
GGCUAGAUGGCCGAGCGGUUAUGGCGUGUGACUCAAGGAUCUUGUUCUUCGUUGCCGAUAGGCAGCGCUUUCUCAUGGGGCAACCCGCGGGGGUUCGAAUCCCCCUCUAGUCA